rnacentral:rRNA from 1 species
GACGAACGCUGGCGGCGUGCUUAACACAUGCAAGUCGAACGAUGAAGCCGGAGCUUGCUCUGGUGAAUUAGUGGCGAACGGGUGAGUAACACGUGAGUAACCUGCCCUUGACUCUGGGAUAACUGCUAGAAAUGGUAGCUAAUACCGGCUACGACCCUCGGAGGCAUCUCCAGUGGGUGGAAAGAAUUUCGGUCAAGGAUGGACUCGAGGCCUAUCGGCUAGUUGGUGAGGUAAUGGCUCACCAAGGCGACGACGGGUAGCCGGCCUGGGAGGGUGACCGGCCACACGGGGACUGAGACACGGCCCAGACUCCUACGGGAGGCAGCAGUGGGGAAUAUUGCACAAUGGGCGCAAGCCUGAUGCAGCAACGCCGCGUGAGGGAUGACGGCCUUCGGGUUGUAAACCUCUUUUAGUAGGGAAGAAGCGAAAGUGACGGUACCUGCAGAAAAAGCACCGGCUAACUACGUGCCAGCAGCCGCCGUAA